GAAGCCCUGUGUGAUUGAGGGUGGAGAGUCAGAAGAGCAGGAGAGCAUGAUAGAGAGCGAGGCAGAGGCCAGACUAUGGAAGGGCUUUUCUAGAGUCAUCAACCCAUCGAGACCAGCGAAAGUAAACAGCGAAGAAUGAUUUUCGAUGACUGAACCCUGGAGAACAGCUGAAUUUGGGAUUUGGGAUCCAGAUGAGCAUACAGCUGCGGAGACUCAGGAGUGGGCGUUGAGCUGGGGAAGAAUGGGGAGAACGUGCCUCUCACACAGCAAAUAUUUGAAGAAGGAUGAGUCACCGUCUGUGCCCAAUUCCCCUGCAAGACUGAGGAAGGCCAGGAUUGAAACCACCCUUUGUACUCACGCCCUUCACAGGGAACAGUUUAGUGACGUGGUGGAGACAGAAGCUGCCUGCAGCUGAUUUGAAAGAGAAUACGAAAUGAGGACUCUGGGACAGAGAAGAAAAUACUCUCAGGAGAACGAGAGAUGAAGAAAUAGAGCUACGGAAGGAUGAGCAUGUAAAGGAAGAAUUGUUUUCCCAGGAUGGGAGAUAUUACACCAUACUUGUAAGAAAGACAGACGGAUGGGACAGAUGGAGAGUGUGAUGGGCAGAGUGUCUGGGAGAGCAAACACAGGUGGCCAACAAGGUGAUUCAGGGACCCAGGCCCCUUCCACAUAUUGGCUGCUCCAAAUACUCCGUUGGCUACUCUGAGUCUGGCCUGGAGAUGAGGGGAGAGAGAUCAACAGCAGAGAAUCUCAGGGACAAGUUCAGAGGCCACGUGCAAUGCUACAUACAUUCAAUUGGCCAGAGCAGUCUGGAACCACCGAACACACAUCAGCCAACAUGGGAAGCAGACAUCUGGCCCAGGAGAGGAAUCAAAACAGGAAGUAAAGAAUCCUGGCAAACACUGCCUUAGCCAGGUGAUGAAGGUCAACCUCACCCCAGUGAUAAGUCAUGUAUCCCCAACAUGCACCAAUGUGAUGUCAUGAGAAUGGAAGUUCAUCUCUGUGGUCACCCUCCCCAAAAUGCACAACCCCCAUUUAAUCAUAAGAAAAGCAUCCAGCAAGAGACAAAAUACCUGAAGAGCUUUUGUCAAAAGAAAGUCAUCAAAAAUAAGCAAAGACGGAGACCCUGUCACAAAGCAGAGAAGGCUAAGGAGACAUGACAACUAAAUAUAACGUCCUGGAUUGUAUCCUGGAACAUAAAAGACAUAGGAAAAAACUAGUGAACUCUGAAUAAAAUGUGGAGAGCUCCGCAGACUUUUGGCUAAGAUCAAAUGGGAAUAAAAUGAGUUCAGUUAAAAGUAAUGUACCAGUGAUGGCUUCUUAGUGUGACAAAUGUACCAUAGUAAUGCAACACAUUAAUAACAGGGAAACUGGGUGUGUGAAGGAUAUAGGGGAACUCUCUGCACUGUCUUUCCAACUUUUCUGUAAAUAAAAAACUAUUAUAACACAAAAAGUUUAUUUAAAAAAAGAAUACUUUUGCACCAGCUGGUUAAUGUUCUUAUGGACACUAGUGUGAAAAUAUUCCCCCAUUUUCUCCCUCCCCUUUACAUAAAACAGUAAUGACUGGUAAAGUACUUUAAAAUAAUACCAUUGCCAUUUGUGGCUUCUUUUCAUUUUAACUAAGAUUGAUUCAACGUAGUUAAAGCUUGUACUUUUCUAUUUCUACAGCAUCUCACAAAUAAUCACAAGCAAGCACAACUAACAAUUUCCUUAGAUUGUUAGAUCGGGGAAACUUUUCUUUGCUGAGGUUAUAUCUGGAUAGUAGCGGUUCAAAGUUGCAUAUCCUGAUAGGAUCUGGGGCUGGGAAUAUUCUUAUCCAUAUUAAAAGAUGGGAUUUAGCCUGUGAACAUAAAGGGGCUAAAUCAGUUAUUGAAUGAAAGGCAUAUCUCUUCUCCAUAUGGAGGUAAGCUGUGGGAGAUUUACCUCAGGAAUUUAACAAACGAUUAUAAAGUUGUUCUGAACAUUUUCAAAAAUAUAUUAUUACUUAUAAAACUGAUGUGUAACCAAAUUAUAUUUUGGUUACAAAUAUAAUUUGACUUUAAUUAAAGUCAAAUUCUUACUCAAGAACAUACCUGUGCGUCUGAAUUCUCAGCCACUGACGAGUAACUUUAUUAAAAAGUAUUAUUUAAACCCGAUUAGCUGCUGACUCCACCAGAAUUUCAAAAGAGAAGGAACUGUAAACCUUUUGGGCAGGAUAUGGGUUUUGUGGGAAGGCUUUUUAGCAAGCCUGUGUUCACAGACAUGCAGUAAACAUUCUGUCUACCCAGAAAGUACCCAGAAGGUACCCAGAAAGUACCUCUCUGCCAAAAUUCAAACUUGUUUGAUGUUCAUAAUGUUUCAAACAUCCAACUAGUUCUGAUGUUUAUAAAAAAUAAAAGGGAUUUAGUUAUAACUUCUAGUGAUACUGGCUGUUUUUAAAGGGCUCUCCCAAAGACACUUUUUUCAUGAAAACAAUUAUUAAAAGCAGCAGAAUGAUAA